AUUUUUUUAGUAUAAUUAGUACUAGUGAUUUCCAAUUACUAUGCCCUGGUUAAACCCCAGGAAAAAAUA
rnacentral:tRNA from 2 species